rnacentral:miRNA from 1 species
AAAACUGUAUCUGGAUUGAUG